rnacentral:rRNA from 1 species
UACAGAGGGUGCGAGCGUUAAUCGGAAUUACUGGGCGUAAAGGGCGCGUAGGUGGUUUGUUAAGAUGUAUGUGAAAUACCUGGGCUUAACCUGGGAACUGCAUAUGUGACUGGCAAGCUAGAGUACUGUAGAGGGUAGUGGAAUUUCCGGUGUAGCGGUGAAAUGCGUAGAUAUCGGAAGGAACACCAGUGGCGAAGGCGACUACCUGGACAGAUACUGACACUGAGGCGCGAAAGCGUGGGGAGCAAACAGG